rnacentral:tRNA from 1 species
UCCAGGGUAGCCUAGUGGACAUGGCAUCUGCCCGGUAAGCGGAACACUGUGGGUUCGAUUCCCCAUCCUUGGAC